AGUAUUUAGAACGUCUGGAGCUUUAUAAUUGCCAUUGCUCGCCCAACCUGGAGAAGCUGCUGCAAGAUCCAGCCUGCAAGAUCUGGGAGCUGUCCCUGGAUAAGAAUGAAUACUUGACCCCUGCCCUCUUCCAGCCUCGAACAAGUCUACAGAAGCUUACGCUGGUCGACAUCCCAAAUGAUCAGGCGCUACUCAGCCAAAUCUGUGGAUCAAUAGAGGGCCUUGGAAUUUCAAAUGAGCCCAACCCUGCGCAGAUCUCCCUGCUGGAAGAUUGCAUAAACAACAAUGCCAAGUCCAAGCUCUGGUUCCUGGAGUUCACAUCAUUCCAUUUCUCUUUAUCUAUCGUGCAGCUCGUGGGCCAGCUGCUGAAGAGCCCAUAUUGCAAGCUUGAAAGUCUCUCCUUGUUACCUGGGGUGAGUUGUUGUUUCAACAUUGAUAUUGACACCGAUUUUCUUAAGCAGAAGGAAAGCCUCUCCUCACCUAGUCAUCAAGAUGCGAUUCUCAGCAAUUUGGAGGCCAACUACAGCAGCCGGAUCCAGAGACUGCGCAUUGGCGGGGAAUGGGCUUCCAUACUGUUGGAGGACAGAUGGUUGAAGGUGAAGUACCGGAAUGCUCUAUUUCAGAAGAGCCCCGUUCUUGCACAAAGCGCUCUAGAAAACCCUCCAGUCACACCAUCAACUGCCAAGCUGUUCAUGUGCGGCCACACUGCCUCGGGCAAGACCACCAUCUCCACCAAUCUGGUCCGCCCCUAUGCAGCCCUCUGGCAGUGUGUGAAGCCGCCAUGUCAGGAUCAUGCAUCAACAGUGGGAAUUGAGAGGAGGACUCUCAGAUUUGGAGAGAGGAAGAAACUCCUGAUUUACGAUCUGGGAGGCCAGGAGGUCUACCACGCUUUUCAUCACUAUUUCCUCAGGGGCAGCGACAAAGAUCUCUUCAUGGUGGUGUGCAAGGUUGGAGGUCGUGGAGGUAAGAUGAAAACAGAGCUCCAAUACUGGCUUCGCUUCAUAGCGGCCCACCAAACUGCAGCACCAGCUAGGAAACCCACCAUUUUCUUAGUACUCAACAUCUUUGUUCGUCAUGACCGUUUCUUGGUAGAAGCUCGAGCAGCUGCGACGUCACUGUUACUCAAGUAUAAGGACAGGCUAGACUUUGUUCAGGGCCAACGUGGUGAUCACUAUUUCGAGUUAAAUGGGUUGAAUGCUCGUCAGGUACAGGAGGAACUGAAGCCCAGGCUGGCGAUAGCAGUGGGCGAAAUGAUAAAUGAGGUUCCCGUGAUUCCCUGGACUUGUGAUGAGGUUAUCAGAGGGCGGGCUUCAUCCUCACCAUGGUAUCAUAUCCACACACGGGCACAAACAAUUGUCCAGCAGAGGGUGGUCGACCUACAUGAGAUGUCGAAGGCUUGGUUCCAGGGGGAGAAAGAAGAUGAGGCACUUGCUGCACAAUACACAUUCAUCUGCCUACAUGACAUGGGAGAAGCUGUCUACUUUGGGGCAGAUGACACAUAUCAAAACACGGAUCCAAACGACAAGGAAGCUGCAUUGAUUGUCAACAAUGCUGUUCUAGACAUGCCAUGGUUUCUCCAUACAGUGUUAGGAAUUUUCAUUCCUAAGCAAGACAGAAACGAUACGAUGAAGUGGGGGGAACCCAAGUGGUCUACUGAGGAAGCAGUAGAAGCUCUCAGAACACAUGGAGAGACUUCAGAGGGCAACAUCUAUUUCUUGCUCAAGCUGCUCUGUGAGAUGGGGGUUUUGAUUCCUGAUGGCAUGAGGAGCUGGGACAUAAGGUGGUCAGAGCCACGAAAUCGGCCAGAACACCUCAUUGUGCCUGCAUUAUUGCGUGAUGAGUUCACUGGGUGGAUUGAAAGGGAGCAAACAUAUGAUUGUUGGGGUCGGAGAUUGCAAGCAGACGACACUAUCAAGGGCUUCGUUCUUCUCCCAUCAGGUAAUUAUGCUCUUGACUGCUGGGAUUGAGAUUAAACAUUGAUGUCUGUAUGUUUGUUGGUUGCAAGCAGGAGUUUUUGCAGUUAUUCAAGCCAAGGUGAAGGAGAUGUGUGACAGAUGGGGCCAUGGAAGUAAGCUUGGUGCUGGUUGGGUUUCCUUCCAAGAGGAUCUCAUUCAAGUUCUGGUGACUAUUGGUGGGGAUUAUAAGCAUUGGACAGAUCGGCAAUGGGUGGAUAUUAUGUUGAUGGUGCCCAAGGAGGAAAAGAGGGGACUCAAAGGGGAGCAGUUCAUGAAUGAGAUACGGAUUGUGUAGUCAAGGAAACUAACAGGGCCUGUCCUUUCAUCAAGCUUGAAGAGCAUGUUCUGAAUCCAGGGAAGGUAAGACAAUUUGGAAAAGCAUCAGGACAACAGAGGUCAUGCGAUGAAAACAACAAGAGCUCUUGGGCAUUGCAAGAGGUUAAACAGAUGGUAGCUAGGGAGGGCUUUGAUUAUCACUUUACCUGGGGUUUUGGUGACUCCACAAGUGCCUUGGAACUCUUAAUGCCAAGUGAAGUCAACGAGAUCAUUCAGCCACAUAAGCGUUCUGUUGAAGAGGUUGUCACAGAAUACAACCAGCACAUAGUGCCAGUGUAUCAAAGCCAGCAGCAACAGCUUGUGCAGGUCGAGAUCCCAAAGUUUGAAAGUGAUGACAUGAGUAACCUUGCCAACUUUUGCUAUCAAUUACACAAGCAUCAAAUGCAGGGGAUGCAGAUAUAUAUGGAGGACUUUAAGGUCUCCAUAACAGAUAUCAAAAAAUCUUUACAGAAGCUUCAAAAGGGCCUGAAGGACACAGAAAACGUAUUGAUCAAGAGCUGCUCAUCACUGUUGGAAUCCAUUAAGCUGGAGUGUCCAAAACUCCCACACCUUACAAUGGAGUCAAAUCUGUCGCUAAAAUAUUCAACUGAUUGGGAAACGAGCAAAUAUUAGCUACUUAUGUGAGCAUCCAAGCGGCUGUCACCCAGUUGAUUUGAAGAAGUACCCAGGAGUACCAAUCACUAUCCCAAAUCAAUGGUUCAAAAAGUAUAGCAACAUCUUCGUCCCAGCCAUCACAAUGUGUUUCACCCUUGCAAAGCUUGGUAAAGUGGCAUUGCCUGAGGGAGGGGAGCUGGUCAGCACCUUGAUUGAGCUUAGUGCAAAUGGCUUGAAGGCUACAAUCGACUCUUGCUUUGAAGGUGAUCUCAAUAACAGGUUGCAACCUGCAUCAGAAGAUGACAUUGUGGAGUUGUUUGAGUAUGUGAAAAAGAAUUCACCUGAACGAUAUGGUGAGGACCGAAUCUUGAUGAUGAAGAAGUGCUUUGGACUCAUCAAAAGUCCAAGUGGCUGGGUUUGUGAAGAUCACUAUUAUUGAAGAAGAAGGGCACAGGCUUAGUAAAACUACUAAAAUGAAGAAGCGGUGAAGUGAAGGAAUUGAAAAAAAAUAAAAGAAAGCAGCGGUUAUCCACUUAAUAUAUUGUAUGUCGAAAGCUCAUCUGCUGUCCAGGGAACUUAGAGAUCAAACCUUAAGACCUCUCUCCACACCAUCGGACACUCCAAAGUUUCCACAAAGCAACGGUGCAACGCAGGAGUCCUACGAUUCAGCCCCUGGGCACGCAUGAGCGCACCAUGUAAGUAAAAAAUUCUCAUUGAAAAUUCUAGACUAGGGAAAGAGCUUUCUCAGUGUGCUGCUGUUUGGCCAUUCUUCUCCUCCAGCCUCCUGGCCUGUGCUCCAGGAUCAGACGAGGAUCCUUAUGCGUACGGAGCUCCUCUUUGUCCAGAGGGGUGAUCCAGGCCGGGAACAUGUUCGUGUUGGGUCAUGUUUCCUCGUGUCGUCCACUUCCAGCUCAACGUUGGGAAGGAGGAAGCUGUGGGGAUCGCCACGUUUAACAGCCAGAAUCCGGGGACUUCGAGGUUGCAAAGGCGGUCUUUGCUUCCAGGGCGGACGUGAGCGACGAUGUAAUUACCAAGGCGUUCCAAGUCUCGGAUCCCGAGCUUGUGAGCGAGCCCAGGAAACUCAUCAAGUAGACUUAAAGGAACUUUCCUUCUUAGGAGUGAUCUUAGAUAUGAUUGUCUGGAAACAAAAACAUUCACAAACAGAAGUACCUGUGUUAAAACGCUCUCACCUAAGCAGCAAAGCUUGCUUCAGGAUUGGAAGCUGGGCCGUGUUGCAAACAACGAAUAAAAUAUGCAGAAUCUUUCAAGGCUACCUUUGCUUUAGCACAGACGUAGAAGCCACGGCCAAGAUUGGGACCAGCCUUCGUAACUGUUCUCACGACACAAGGCUCACCGUGUCCCUUGCACAAUGGAAGAUUUCGCUCUGCCCAUGCACUGCGACCUCUGUGCAGCUCAUCUUGUCAGAAGAUUCAUGCCUUUGAUAGCAAAACCCUGUCAAUCUGCUUUGUGACAGCCUCUGUAAUUUCCUGCAGCCCGUUUCCUGUGUAAAAGCGGGCUUGGAAACAUUUUGGCUUGUAUCAGGCUCGGUGUUAGCUGUUGUUCUCUCGUUGAGCUUUCUGAAAAUGGAAACUACACCAGUCAGCACGAGGGGUUGUCAGAAACGUCCUUCGCUAUAAGAAGUUACUCACUGAUACUUUGCUGACGACCGCAAAGCUCAGGCAUAAAUAGAGCAGCCAGUUGUGGAGCUUCAUGUGGUGGAAUGGAAGGUAAUGCUUAAGCUGCAGAAUAGCAGGAGCGUGAUCUGAACCAUCCAGUUUCAAGCUUCUUCCACCACUCCAUCUGCCAUGGAGAAACAUCAACACUGGCAACAACUAGUCUGUCUUUUUGCGUACCUCGGAAGGGUGUCCAGCUUUGCACGCUUAAACUCGAGAAGAAUGUCACAACCACCACUUCCUUGACAUCCACGAUCAAUGGAUGGUGAAACGAGAGAAGAACGUUGAUUUCCCGUAGAGAAGUCAUGGGGAAUCCUUCUCUCUCGUGGACCAUCUUCACUCUCUUGAGCGCCACAAUCUCUCCACUCUGCAGCAUAUCAAGACUACGUAGCUGCGGGGGGUCCGACCCCGAGCGCGUCUGGAGCACUACCAUCGUCGUUGCUAAGUUCCACAAGCUCUUUCUCGUUCAGUUCCUGCUCGUACCGCUGCUCCUCAUCUCGGCUCCCGGAAUUGUCCUGAGCACCACCACCACCACCGCUGCAAAGCACAUCGGUGUCAAUCGGCUGUGUUUCAUCCUCUCCAGCAGCAGCCGCCUCGGAGAAGCUAGACAAGGGCGACGCCGCAUCAGAUUUCCUGCCGUCGUCAAGGUCCCAGACAAUGGGAGAGUACUUCCCCAUCGUCGCCCUCUACGUCCCUGGAAUCCGUGGCAAUGUAGGCCCUGAGUCCAUUAGCUCGCUCGGGCGGGAGCAUGAGAGCUAGCGCAUUUGGAGCUUACCGGCGAGCGCCAUUCGCUCCACUCCAGAGCCACGAGCCCUAAAACACAGAGAAAACAUUAUUUCUCGAUUCUUUGGGAAAGAAAGUUCUCGUCUAUCGACGACGAGGAUUUGAAGGUACUUAAAACGUUUUCUUCCAUCGGGUGAGCCAUCACUAAACCCUAGAAACCCUCUAAACCUCGAGCAAUAUAAAAAAAAGCCCUUUAAUGGAUAUGGUCUAAAGAAUUUCCAGAAAGAUCUUUUCGUUUCUCCUACGGCAUAGUACCACACUCGAUGAUUUCACGUGAAACGAAUAUACUCUCUUUGCUUUGUUUUGCGUAUCCCCGUUCUUCGUCGCGGAUGUUCUAAACCGAAAAAAAAGAAAGAAAACCACGAGAGAAUCAAGUCAAUAACAUUGACGUGUUCUCUUCCAGGAAAUGUACCUCCCAAGUCGCUGCCAUGAAAGCCAGUCCCCCGUACCGCAAAAAAACUCUAAGCAAAUCCCUCCACCAAAAAGCUGUCUAGCCCGCUGUGGAUGAGCUCGAAACCAUCCAAACAAAGCGACCGCGCCUGAAUCCGGUGCCGCCGCACGGCGCUGGGGUUCCAUCCUCAUCCGACUGCAUGAUCAGGUUUGUCUCUCCGGAUCUUGCUUUAAUCCUCUUUUCUUUUCUUUUCUUUUUUCUUUCUUCUGGCAAGAUGGAAGAACCUGUUGGCAACAGCGACCAACGCCGUGGAUGUGAUAACAUUCGACUAUCCCUGUGGGUCUUCUUUCUUAUUAUUUUUCUUCUUUCUUGGAAGAUCUUGUUAGUUUUCUAGUUAAAUGACAUACUCUGUUUCCCCUAAAUCAUUUUAUCCAUGUAAAUAUAUAGGAGGCGCAUUUUUGCGGACUAAAAUCCAUUCAAGAUCGAGAAUUUGAGAGCAUGUAAUUAAAUCGUUGUUAUUGUAAAAUUCUAGACUCGGAGACGCUCCGAGUGAGAGAACGAGCUGCUGCUUGGCAUUCUUACCUGGCCUGUGCUCAACCAUCGGACGACAUACGAAACUUGUACAGCUUGUCUAACGCGUGUGCUUUGCUAAUUGCCUACAAAAACAAUUACCUUUACAAAGCAAAAGCAAAAGAAAAAGAAAAAGAUUUGGCAUGAUUGAUGCCACUUUGUACAACGUGCACCGUAGGUCAGAGUUGGCAUCUGAUUUCAUGUUUAAAGCCAAGCAACAUGCCAAGCCUCUGACUCAUCUUUGCUAGCCACUUCCAAGUUGUCAUUUGGAUGUUGAUUCAUCAACGACAUUUGUUGUAAUUUCUGAGGGUAUUCCAUUGGAAGUUAUGGGGGAGCCAAAGCAGGCCCGGAUAGAUGAUUACGAGGAUUUGCCAAGCAUUCGCUUGGAGAUGUGCAACCAUGAGGUGUUGACUGUGGAGCUGAAGGAACAGAGAUAUAGAGCAGCAAAAUUCGCUUCAGAAAACAUCAAAGGCUUGCGCGAGCUGCUGCUGCAGGUGGACAACACUCUGGAGCACGUAAUCCUGUGUAGCAAUGGCUACCACAAAGUGGAGGGGUUUCUAGAAGCAGCUGUGUCCAAGCUAAGCAGCCUUGGCCUUUUCUGGAGAAAAAUUUGGCGCGUGGCUGAGUCGCAGAUUGGAUCAUGAAGUGAUUCUCAGCUUGGAUGAUGCUAUUGCUGCUGCCAAGCACAAGCGGAUGCCAAUCAAGCUCAAGACGCUUUUUCUAUAUCACUGUGACGUAGAUUUAAAUGCUUUAGCAGGAUCAAUCAACACUUCGAAAGUAUUUAGAACGUCUGGAGCUUUAUAAUUGCCCUUGCUCGCCCAACCUGGAGAAGCUGCUGCAAGAUCCAGCCUGCAAGAUCUGGGAGCUGUCCCUCACUAAGAAUGAAUACUUGACCCCUGCCCUCUUCCAGCCUCGAACAAGUCUACGGAAGCUAACGCUGGACAACAUCCCAAAUGAUCAGGCGCUACUCAGCCAAAUCUGCGGAUCAAUAGAAG
rnacentral:lncRNA from 1 species